rnacentral:rRNA from 1 species
GACGAACGCUGGCGGCGUGCUUAACACAUGCAAGUCGAACGGUAAGGCCCUUCGGGGUACACGAGUGGCGAACGGGUGAGUAACACGUGGGUGAUCUGCCCUGCACUUCGGGAUAAGCCUGGGAAACUGGGUCUAAUACCGGAUAGGACCAUGGACUUCACGGUUUGUGGUGGAAAGCUUUUGCGGUGUGGGAUGGGCCCGCGGCCUAUCAGCUUGUUGGUGGGGUAAUGGCCUACCAAGGCGACGACGGGUAGCCGGCCUGAGAGGGUGUCCGGCCACACUGGGACUGAGAUACGGCCCAGACUCCUACGGGAGGCAGCAGUGGGGAAUAUUGCACAAUGGGCGCAAGCCUGAUGCAGCGACGCCGCGUGAGGGAUGACGGCCUCGGUUGUAAACCGUCUUCAUAGGACGAAGCGCAAGUG